AUGGACGGCCUCCUCCAUUGGGAUUUCUGCCCCGACCUCAAGGUCGAGGACCAGGUGCGUAAAUGUUUUGGAUCUAUGGUCCAUUUCGUCCCAAACCCUAACUCCAAGGAGUUCUUCCUUGAAGUUUCUUUCUCCUCGGCCUUAUUUCUUCUCUCGGUGGAAUCUGUGGGAUUGGCACUACAAUCUUGUAUUGGA
rnacentral:rRNA from 1 species